AGUCCAAUACAGCAAACAGCUAGUUGGGAUGAAGGGAUCUCAUUUGCCAUAAGUUCUCUCCAGAGGCACCUUCAUGGAGCCCCUAGUGUGCAGCUUUAUUAAUUAUUAUUAUUUAUUAUUUGAGUGAGCGAGGUAUAGGGUUUGCCACCCCAGUCCAAAGGUCUGAUCUUCUUCCAGCCAGUCUCUGCUCUUGGCAUUUCAUGACAAUUUUUUCCUUUAACAUAAAUCUUUUCUUUUAUCAGGGACUCUCUAACAAAAGCCCCACUAUAUGGACUUAUCUAUGGAAUAGCCAAAUGUGCAAGCUACUUUCUCAGUGCAGCAAUCUUCAGAUUCGGGGCAUGGCUCAUUGCUAAUUGUUAUACAAACCUUGAAAAUAUAUUUAUAGCCUUUUUUUCAGUUCUAUAUGGUGUUAUAAGUGUUGGGCUGUCCACUUCUUUGGCACCAGAUUUUGGCAAAGCUAAAGUUUCUGCCCAACGAAUCUUUCAGCUUUUGGAUCGGAAACCCUUAGUUGACAGCUAUAGUGAAGAGGGUACAAAACUGAGUCACUUUGAUGGCAACAUUGAAUUCAGGGACAUCCAUUUUGUAUACCCUACAAGACCAGAAGCUCAAGUUUUGCAAGGACUCAGCGUGAAGGUUAAUAAAGGACAGACGCUAGCCUUGGUGGGGAGCAGUGGUUGUGGCAAAAGCACAUCCAUUCAGCUGCUGGAGAGAUUUUAUGACCCUAUGGCCGGACAAGUG